UCAGUCUUGCAAUUGGAUUGAGAACAAUGUACAACUCUUAUCGAUAAGCCAUUGGAGGGCAAGUCUGGUGCCAGCAGCCGCGGUAAUUCCAGCUCCAAUAGCGUAUAUUAACGUUGUUGCAGUUAAAAAGCUCGUAGUUGAAGUGUGGGUGGUGCUGUCUGAAUGACUUCGGUUAGUCAGAUGAUCACUACCCCCUUCCAGUAUCCAAUAGUGGGUAUUCAGUUACUUACUAUUGUGUGUUGGUCAUUUACUGUGAGAAAAUUAGAGUGUUCAAAGCAGGCGUUUGCUUGAAUAGAUUAGCAUGGAAUAAUAAUUGAAGGCUUUCGUGUU
rnacentral:rRNA from 1 species